GACGAACGCUGGCGGCGUGCUUAACACAUGCAAGUCGAACGAAGUGGCGAACGGGUGAGUAACGCGUAAUCAACCUGCCCUUCAGAGGGGGACAACCGUUGGAAACGACUGCUAAUACCGCAUACUGAAGGAGGGUAUUGCGUCUGAUUAGCUAGUUGGAGGGGGAACGGACCACCAAGGCUAUGAUCAGUAGCCGGGCAGAGGGGAUGAACGGCCACAUUGGGACUGAGACACGGCCCAGACUUCUACGGGAGGCAGCAGUGGGGAAGCUUCCGCAAUGGACGAAAGUCUGACGGAGCAACGCCGCGUGAGUGAUGACGGCCUUCGGGUUGUAAAGCUCUGUUAAUCGGGACGCGGUACCGGAAUAGAAAGCCACGGCUAACUACGUGCCAGCAGCCGCGGUAAUAC
rnacentral:rRNA from 1 species